rnacentral:tRNA from 1 species
CAGAGAGUAGUUUAAUGAAAAUUUUAAUUUUGGAGAUUAAAGAUGGGUAUAAUUAUCUUUCUCUGA